rnacentral:rRNA from 1 species
UACAGAGGGUGCAAGCGUUAAUCGGAAUUACUGGGCGUAAAGCGUGCGUAGACGGUUACAUAAGUCAGGUGUGAAAGCCCCGGGCUCAACCUGGGAAUUGCAUUUGAGACUGUGUAGCUAGGGUGCGGAAGAGGGAAGCGGAAUUUCCGGUGUAGCGGUGAAAUGCGUAGAUAUCGGAAGGAACACCAGUGGCGAAGGCGGCGACCUGGGCCAAUAUUGACGCUGAGGUGCGAAAGCGUGGGGAGCAAACAGG